rnacentral:rRNA from 1 species
GACGAACGCUGGCGGCGUGCCUAAUACAUGCAAGUCGAACGCAGUGGGGACGGGUGAGUAACACGUGGGUAACCUCCCAUCAGAGGGGAUAACACUUGGAAACAGGUGCUAAACCGAUCCUGAUGGAUGGACCCGCGGUGCAUUAGCUAGGUGGUGAGGUAACUGCUCACCAAGGCCACGAUGCAUAGGCGGCCUGAGAGGGUGAUCAGCCACACUGGAACUGAGACACGGUCCAGACGCCUACGGGAGGCAGCAUUAGGGAAUCUUCGGCAAUGGACGAAAGCCUGAUCGAGCAACGCCGCGUGAGUGAAGAAGGUUUUCGGAUCGUAAAACUCUGUUGUGAGAGAAGCGGUAUCUAACCAGAAAGCCACGGCUAACUACGUGCCAGCAGCCGCGGUAAUAC